rnacentral:rRNA from 1 species
UACAGAGGGGGCGAGCGUUGUUCGGAAUUACUGGGCGUAAAGGGCGCGUAGGCGGCCUUCUAAGUCGAACGUGAAAUCCCCGGGCUCAACCCGGGAACUGCGUCCGAUACUGGGAGGCUUGAAUCCGGGAGAGGGAUGUGGAAUUCCAGGUGUAGCGGUGAAAUGCGCAGAUAUCAGGAGGAACACCGAUGGCGAAGGCAGAUCUCUGGGCCGUAACUGACGCUGAGGAGCGAAAGCGUGGGGAGCGAACAGG